GCGUGCCUAACACAUGCAAGUCGAACGGGGUUAACACGCUGACGAGACUUCGGUCAAAAUCUUGUGUUAACUUAGUGGCGAACGGGUGAGUAACGCGUGGGCAACCUGCCCCGUACCGGGGGAUAGCGGCUGGAAACGGCCGGUAAUACCGCAUAAGCGCACGGUGUGGCAUCACACAGUGUGAAAAACUCCGGUGGUACGGGAUGGGCCCGCGUCUGAUUAGCCAGUUGGUGAGGUAACGGCUCACCAAAGCGACGAUCAGUAGCCGGGCUGAGAGGCCGGACGGCCACAUUGGGACUGAGACACGGCCCAGACUCCUACGGGAGGCAGCAGUGGGGGAUAUUGCACAAUGGAGGAAACUCUGAUGCAGCGACGCCGCGUGAGUGAAGAAGUAUUUCGAUAUGUAAAGCUCUAUCAGCAGGGAAGAAAGCCCUCUUUAAGAGGGGAUGACGGUACCUGACUAAGAAGCCCCGGCUAACUACGUGCCAGCAGCCGCGGUAAUACGUAGGGGGCAAGCGUUAUCCGGAUUUACUGGGUGUAAAGGGAGCGCAGACGGUCAUACAAGUCUGAAGUGAAACCCCACGGCUCAACUGUGGGCUUGCUUUGGAAACUGCGUGACUUGAGUGCCGGAGGGGUAAGCGGAAUUCCCGGUGUAGCGGUGAAUGCGUAGAUAUCGGAGAACACCGGUGGGCGAAGCGGCUUACUGGACGGCACUGACGUUGAGGCUCGAGCGUGGGAGCAACAGGAUAGAUACCUGGUAGUCACGCGUAACGAUGAUCUAGUGUGGGAGCAAGCUUUCAUGCG
rnacentral:rRNA from 1 species